rnacentral:rRNA from 1 species
AUUGAACGCUGGCGGCAUGCUUUACACAUGCAAGUCGAACGGCAGCGCGGGCUUCGGCCUGGCGGCGAGUGGCGAACGGGUGAGUAAUACAUCGGAACGUGCCCAGUAGUGGGGGAUAGCUCGGCGAAAUGCCGGAUUAAUACCGCAUACGACCUGAGGGUGAAAGCGGGGGAUCUUCGGACCUCGCGCUAUUGGAGCGGCCGAUGGCAGAUUAGCUAGUUGGUGGGGUAAAGGCCUACCAAGGCGACGAUCUGUAGCUGGUCUGAGAGGACGACCAGCCACACUGGGACUGAGACACGGCCCAGACUCCUACGGGAGGCAGCAGUGGGGAAUUUUGGACAAUGGGCGAAAGCCUGAUCCAGCAAUGCCGCGUGUGUGAUGAAGGCCUUCGGGUUGUAAAGCACUUUUGGCGGGAACGAAAGGGACUGUGCCAAUACCUCGGUUCGAUGAGGGGACCCGCAGAAUAAGCCCCG